UACGGAGGGUGCAAGCGUUAAUCGGAAUUACUGGGCGUAAAGCGUGCGUAGGCGGUUAUUUAAGUCAGAUGUGAAAGCCCCGGGCUUAACCUGGGAACUGCAUUUGAUACUGGAUGACUAGAGUUGAGUAGAGGAGAGUGGAAUUUCAGGUGUAGCGGUGAAAUGCGUAGAGAUCUGAAGGAACACCAGUGGCGAAGGCGGCUCUCUGGACUCAAACUGACGCUGAGGUACGAAAGCGUGGGUAGCAAACAGG
rnacentral:rRNA from 1 species